AACCUUUAGCCAAAACCAGUAUUAAAGGCAAUGCCUGCCCAGUGAGAAUAUCUUCAACGGCCGCGGUACCCUAACCGUGCAAAGGUAGCGUAAUCAUUUGUCUAUUAAUUGUAGACCAGUAUGAAAGGCCACAUGAGAGCCAAACUGUCUCUUGUAAUCCAUCAAUUAAACUGAUCUCCUAGUACAAAAGCUAGGAUAACAAUAUAAGACCAGAAGACCCUGUGAAGCUUUAACUAACCUAUUAAACCCACUAAUAGCUACUUUCGGUUGGGGCGACCUUGGAACAAAACAAAACUUCCAAAUACUAUGAAUAUUACCUCAUACACCUCAGGCCAACAAGCCACAAUAUGACCCAGUACAACUGAUAAUUGAACCAAGUUACUCCAGGGAUAACAGCGCCAUCUUCUUCAAGAGCCCAUAUCAAAAAGAAGGUUUACGACCUCGAUGUUGGAUCAGGACACCCAAAUGGUGCAGCCGCUAUUAAAGGUUCGUUUGUUCAACGAUUAACAGUCCU
rnacentral:rRNA from 1 species